rnacentral:rRNA from 1 species
AAUGAACGCUGGCGGCGUGCCUCAGACAUGCAAGUCGAACGCGAAAUUUCCCUUCGGGGAGAAAGUAGAGUGGCGCACGGGUGAGUAACACGUAGGUAAUUUGCCUUUGGGUGGGGAAUAACUCAGGGAAACUUGAGCUAAUACCGCAUAAUGCAGCGGCUCGACAUCGAGACAGUUGUUAAAGCGGGGGAUUGGAGCAAUCCGACCUCGCGCCUAAAGAGAAGCCUGCGGCAGAUUAGCUAGUUGGUAAGGUAAUGGCUUACCAAGGCGACGAUCUGUAACCGGCCUGAGAGGGCGGUCGGUCACACUGACACUGACAUACGGGUCAGACUCCUACGGGAGGCAGCAGUCGGGAAUUUUGGGCAAUGGGCGCAAGCCUGACCCAGCAACGCCGCGUGAAGGAUGAAAUUUUUCGGAAUGUAAACUUCGCAAGAACAGGAAGAAUAAGUGUGGGACAAUA